GACGAACGCUGUCGGCGGCGCCUAACACAUGCAAGUCGAACGAAGCUGCGAUCGGAACGAAAGUUCUUCGGAAAGAGAUUGGUACAGCUUAGUGGCGGACGGGUGAGUAACGCGUGAGAAACCUGCCUUUCAGUGGGGGACAACAGUUGGAAACGACUGCUAAUACCGCAUAAUGUUAUUGGGGGCAUCCCUGAAUAACCAAAGCUUAAUGUGCUGAAAGAUGGUCUCGCGUCUGAUUAGCUGGUUGGUGAGGUAACGGCUCACCAAGGCGACGAUCAGUAGCCGGUCUGAGAGGAUGAACGGCCACAUUGGGACUGAGAUACGGCCCAG
rnacentral:rRNA from 1 species